rnacentral:lncRNA from 1 species
UUUCUCACGCAUUAUGUAGCCGUUGCGGAUUAGAAGAAGUAUAUAUCAAGCCAUAGAUGGGCCAGAAAAGAGCUUGCAAGGUCCUCUGAUCUGUCUUCAUCUUCCAGAGAAAAAUCAUCGCUACUCUAAUCGCACGACAUGGAAGAUGAUCCAAGCUCUGUAAGCACCCUCCACAGUCGGAAGGAGGAGUAUCUACCAGAGACAAUUCUCUGAGUCUGUGAGACAUCUACAGCUUCUCUCAAACCAUGUUACGUCCAACUUCAUUGCACUAGUUCCUGCUGGCCAAACGUGAACAGAUGUACUUUUUUUGUGUCCAGGAUAGUACCGAAGGUGGAUGUGUACAGAUUGCUAACAGAACCAUGGCACUCUUGACAAGCAGACCCAGAUGUUUGGAUGCUUGUUAUCCCCGCUGCAGAAGGUUAUCCCGUUUCCAGUUCUGCCCAAGAAGCAGAUCACAGAAGUGCUGCCUACUUCAGGAGUGAGCAGAGAGGUCAAGAGCAGGAGUUAUGCGGGGAAGAGAGAAGCAGGAUUCGAGGCAAGAUGGUCCAGUUCUGCAGCUCUGCGUUCAUCACUGAAUUUGCUUCGGCAACUCCUCC